ACCUGCAUCCGAAAGUGAGUGUGGUCUGCUUGUGUCCUGGUCAUUGGUAGUGCAGGGAGAGGAAAGCUGAAAGGGUUUUCCCCGUGUUUGGAGGGUCCGCUCUGUUGCUUCCAAAUCCUGGAGCUUUCACACA
ensembl:snoRNA SNORA71 Small nucleolar RNA SNORA71